rnacentral:tRNA from 1 species
GGGGUUGUGGCUCAGUGGUAGAGCGUGCUCACCUAACGUGUGAGGCACUGGGGUCGAUCCUCAGCACCACA